rnacentral:tRNA from 1 species
AGGGAUAUAGCUCAGUGGUAGAAUACAUGCCUAGCAUGCAUGAAGUCCUAGGUUCAAUUCCCAGUACCUUCA